UUAGGUUGGUGCAAAAGUAAUCGCGGUUUUUGCCAUACUUUUAAUGUCAAAACUGCAAUAACUUUGCACCAACCUAAUAU
ensembl:miRNA